UACGUAGGGGCCUAGCGUUGUCCGGAAUUAUUGGGCGUAAAGGGCUCGUAGGCGGUUUGUCGCGUCGGGAGUGAAAACCUACAGCUUAACUGUGGGCUUGCUUUCGAUACGGGCAGACUAGAGGUAUGCAGGGGAGAACGGAAUUCCUGGUGUAGCGGUGAAAUGCGCAGAUAUCAGGAGGAACACCGGUGGCGAAGGCGGUUCUCUGGGCAUGAUCUGACGCUGAGGAGCGAAAGUGUGGGGAGCGAACAGG
rnacentral:rRNA from 1 species